ACUCUCAAUAAACAACAAUCAUAAUCUUCUAUCUAUGAACAAUCUCCCACAAAAUCUGAUAACAAACUCCCAAUAUCUUCUCAUAAUAAUUCAAUUACAAAGUACUCCAAUUACAUAAUCAAUAACUCAUAAAUCAAUCUUUGAUUUAUUCCACAGAUUUAAUUCUGAGUAUUCAAAAACUAUCCUUUAUUUUUCAACAACAAAAAAACAAAGAGGUAGCACUAAGCUUUUCCUAGUUCAUGACUAUUAUAUUCUGGCACUUAUA
rnacentral:lncRNA from 1 species